rnacentral:rRNA from 1 species
GAUGAACGCUAGCGGCAGGCUUAAUACAUGCAAGUCGAGGGACAGCACAGGUAGCAAUACUGGGUGGUAACCGGCAAACGGGUGCGGAGCACGUACACAACCUUCCUUUAAGUGGGGGAUAGCCCAGAGAAAUUUGGAUUAAUACCCCGUAAUAUAGUUGAAUGGCAUCAUUUGAUUAUUAUAGCUACGGCGCUUAAUGAUGGGUGUGCGGCUGAUUAGAUAGCUGGCGGGGUAACGGCCCACCAAGUCUACGAUCAGUAGCUGAUGUGAGAGCAUGAUCAGCCACACGGGCACUGAGACACGGGCCCGACUCCUACGGGAGGCAGCAGUAAGGAAUAUUGGUCAAUGGACGCAAGUCUGAACCAGCCAUGCCGCGUGAAGGAUUAAGGUCCUCUGGAUUGUAAACUUCCUUUAUUUGGGACGAAAAAGGGCCUUUCUAGGUCAACUGACGGUACCAGAUGAAUAAGCACCGGCUAACUCCGUGCCAGCAGCCGCAGUAAUAC